ensembl:snRNA U6 U6 spliceosomal RNA
GUGCUUGCUUUGGCAGCAUGUAUAAUAAAAUUGGAACAAUACAGACAAGAUUAGCAUGGCUCUUGUGCAAGGGUGAUCGGCAGAUUUGUAAAAUGACCCAUGUUUUU